GUUCCCCGCGAGGUUUUGAGAGUGAGGUGGCGGGAGCGGCGGCCAUGGCGACGCCGGAGGAGAGAGAAUUGCAGGUUGCUGCGUGGUUGAAAAAAAUAUUCGGAGACCAUCCCAUUCCACAGUAUGAGGUGAAUCCACGGACGACAGAAAUUUUGUAUCACCUUUCAGAACGCAACAGGGUCCGGGACAGGGACAUCUGCCUGGUGAUAGAGGACUUAAAACAGAAAGCAAAUGAGUAUGAGUCAGAAGCCAAACAUCUUCAGGACUUUCUCAUGGAGAGUGUGAAUUUUUCCCCUGCCGCUCUGUCUAACACUGGUUCCAGGUUUCUAAAUGCAUUGGUUGACAGUGCAGUAGCCUUGGAAACAAAGGAUACUUCACUAGCAAGUUUUAUUCCUACAGUGAAUGAUUUGACUUCUGACCUUUUUCAUACCAAAUCCAAAAGUGAAGAAAUUAAUCUGGAAUUGGGAAAACUUGGAAAAAAUCUGACUGCAACAUUAGUGUUAGAAAAAUGUCUACGAGAAGAUCUCAAGAAGGCAGAGCUGCAUCUGUCUGCAGAGAGGGCCAAAGUCGAUAGUCGUCUUCAGAACAUGGACUUCCUGAAAGCAAAGGCAGCGGAGUUCAGGUUUGGAAUCAAAGCUGCACAGGAGCAGCUCUUAGCCAGAGGCAUGGAUAUGUCUCUGUCCCAUCGGUCACUAGUGGCACUUUCAGAGAAACUCAUGGAACUAAAACAGCAGACUUUACCUCUGAAGAAGAAAUUGGAGUCCUAUUUAGAUUUAAUGCCGAAUCCGUCUCUUGCUCAAGUGAAAAUUGAAGAGGCAAAGAGAGAAUUAGAUGCCAUCGAAGCUGAACUUACAAAGAAAGUAGACAUGAUGGAACUGUGACAGACAAGUAGACAUCUUUUUCCCAAGAAGUAAAUGAUUGUUCUUAGAGGACAUAACAAUUCCACAACCCAGUUCCUGCGAGUUUCUUCCUGCUGUGUGCAUCUGGCCUCUGGCCUCUGGCUUCUAGCCACUUCCCUCGUGCCAUGGCCCCGAAACGGCAAUCUGCGCUUCUGCCUCAGUCCAAGAAACCCAAAUCGGCUCCUUCCCCGAAACUGGAGGACAAGUCGGCCUCUCCCGGCCUG